rnacentral:rRNA from 1 species
ACGGGUGAGUAACACGUGGAUCAUCUACCUUCUAGUGGGGAAUACCUCCGGGAAACUGGAGACAAUACCGCAUAAGCUCGUAAGAGGAAAGCAGCAAUGCGCUGGAAGAGGAGUCCGCGGCUGAUUAGCUAGUUGGCGGGGUAACGGCCCACCAAGGCGAAGAUCGGUAGCCGGCCUGAGAGGGCACACGGCCACACUGGCACUGAAACACGGGCCAGACUCCUACGGGAGGCAGCAGUGGGGAAUCUUGCACAAUGGAGGAAACUCUGAUGCAGCGACGCCGCGUGAGCGAUGAAGCCCUUCGGGGUGUAAAGCUCUUUCGACGGGAACGAUGAUGACGGUACCCGAAGAAGAAGCUGCGGCUAACUACGUGCCAGCAGCCGCGGUAAUACGUAGGCAGCAAGCGUUGUUCGGAAUUACUGGGCGUAAAGAGUGUGUAGGCGGUGCUCCAAGUCUGUUGUGAAAUCUCCCGGCUUAACUGGGAGGGUGCGGCGGAAACUGGGGUGCUAGAGGAUGGGAGAGGUAAGCGGAAUUCCUGGUGUAGCGGUGAAAUGCGUAGA